AUAUAUUGCAUUUUUACUGACCAUAAACGUACAAGUAGCGCUUUCACAUUUUACUUGUCGUAAAGUCUACUUCACCGGUACGCGAAAAUGAAACUAAAUAAUGCUUUACCUUUCUACUUCUUGGCCAUAUUUAUUUAUGUCAUCUGCUUCGCCAAUGCCGCACCAUGCCGGAAAGCCAAUCAACCACACCAAUCGCUAAGAACGGCACAAGAGAACCUCCGAAAAAGCGACACAUCAGUUGGAAGCUUUACGACUUUGGCACCAGAGAUUCAAAAGAUUUUAGACCAACUAAAAGACCACAAAAUUUUAAAAGAGAAAUUGAAGUACAAAGAGCUCCUAGAAAAGUUGAAAGAAGUGUUUCAUACCACUUCGACCACCGUGUGUGCUAGAUGCAGAGGAAAAUAAAGUAUUACUCAUCUAACUAAUAAUUCUGCAUGCAUAA